rnacentral:rRNA from 1 species
GACGAACGCUGGCGGCGUGCUUAACACAUGCAAGUCGAACGGUGAAGCGCCUUCCUUUUUGGUGGGUGUGGAUGAGUGGCGAACGGGUGAGUAACACGUGAGUAACCUGCCCCCUUCUUCUGGAUAACCGCAUGAAAGUGUGGCUAAUACGGGAUAUUCUGGGUCUGUCGCAUGAUGGGUCUGGGAAAGAUAUUGUUUCGGUGGGGGAUGGGCUCGCGGCCUAUCAGCUUGUUGGUGGGGUGAUGGCCUACCAAGGCGGUGACGGGUAGCCGGCCUGGGAGGGUGGACGGCCACACUGGGACUGAGACACGGCGCAGACUCCGACGGGAGGCAGCAGGGGGUAAUAUUGCACAGUGGGCGCAAGCCUGAUGCAGCGACGCCGCGAGAGGGAUGGAGGCCUUCGGGUUGUGAACCUCUUUCGCCAGUGAAGCAGGCCUGCCUCGUAUGUGGGUGGAUUGACGGUAGCUGGAGAAGAAGCGCCGGCUAACUACGUG